rnacentral:rRNA from 1 species
GGUUNCUGGAUCNNGAGGGUCUCGCGGCCUNUCANCUAGNUGGUGGGGUAACGGCCUACCAAGGCAUCGACGGGUAGCUGGUCUGANAGGAUGAUCANCCACACUGGGACUGANACACGGCCCANACUCCUACGGGAGGCNNCNNUGGGGAAUCUUGCGCANUGGGCGAAAGCCUGACGCANCANCGCCGCGUGCGGGAAGAAGGCCUUCNGGUUGUAAACCGCUUUCNNAANGAACGAAACUGACGGUACUUUCNAAAGAAGGUGCGGCCAACUACNUGCCANCNNCCGCGGUGACACNUANGCNCCNNGCGUUGUCCGGAUUUAUUGGGCGUAANGAGCUCGNANGCGGNUCGGUAAAUCGGAUGUGAAAACUUUGGGCUCAACCCAAAGCGUGCACUCGAUACUGCCGUGACUGGAGUUCGGUAGGGGAGCGGGGAAUUCCUAGUGUAGCGGUGAAAUGCGCAGAUAUUAGGAGGAACACCGGUGGCGAAGGCGCCGCUCUGGGCCGAUACUGACGCUGAGGAGCGAAAGCGUGGGUAGCAAACAGGAUUAGAUACCCUGGUAGUCCACGCCGUAAACGUUGGGCACUAGGUGUGGGUCUCAACCAACGAGAUCCGCGCCGUCGCUAACGCAUUAAGUGCCCCGCCUGGGGGAGUACGGCCGCAAGGUUAAAACUCAAAGGAAUUGACGGGGGCCCGCACAAGCAGCGGAGCGUGUUGCUUAAUUCGAUGCAACGCGAANAACCUUACCUGGGCUUGACNUGUACGGAAAAGCCGUAGANAUACNGUGUCCUUCGGGGUCGUACACAGGUGGUGCAUGGNUGUCGUCAGCUCGUGUCGUGAGAUGUUGGGUUAAGUCCCGCAACGAGCGCAACCCUUAUUCUAUGUUGCCAGCGGUAAUGC